CAUCGCGAUGCUCGCGCUAUAUGACGAAUUUUGACGAAUUUGACACUUACUGGCAAAAUGGCGGCUAUAAAAAAAUCUCGGACAUAAUUUUCGCAGAGUGACACAUCUUUAUAGUAUCUAAUCUUUGAUCAAGUUCCCUUGAGCCUGCUCCCUUGGGCCUGCACGCGGGCUAGGACUGUGGAAGAGUCAGACAGUCAGACACAAUUACACAAAAUUGACAAAAAGUCCAAAACAUGACCAUGACGAGCAUGAUGUCUCGACAUCUGCAGUUUAGAAAUUAUUUCAAAGUCAUGGAUGUAUUACGUUGUAGUAACAAGAGACAUUCUAUGUCGUGGAGUCAAGUAAGAUGGUGUUUGUUGUGUGAGUAUACAAAUAUAAAAUAU